GCGGAAGCUGAACCAUCAACAUUAUCAAUAACAGUACUGGCUACUGCUGCUUUAAUUCUGUUUGGGACACAGCCAGGUUUAAAGGUUGUACGAGUUUUGCAGAAUGAAGAAGAAGGCCUGGAGUUCACAGGCAGAAAAGCACAGCCAGUUCCAUGGAAAAAUGGCUUAUGCAAUGGCAAUAGGGUUUUGGUGGUGUUGGAAUGGUAAACAUGUGGCUUCAACAUUGUUUCUUUUUUCUCCUAUUUUUUGGCUUAAUCCUUGCCUUAGAGAGAGUAGAUAUAUCUAAGGUUAAAGGUUGUGGUUGGAGAAGGGUGCCUCGGCAAAUUAGCUCUAAGAUAUCUUAUGUACUGUAGGGUUUAACUAGAUGGCGAAAGAGAAGACCAUGAUUCUUUUUCUUUUGUUUUUUUUUGUAAAAAUUUCUUUUCGGGUUGAAAGAGUCAAAGAGACCCUUAUCUGUUUUAUUUGCUUCAAUAUGUAAAUCACAAUACUAUUUGACAU
rnacentral:lncRNA from 1 species